GGACUACAAGUGAACUGCAAGGAUAAACGGCUGAACGCCAAGCUUUAUAGCAACAGGGCAGCAGCCCAUUUCCAUUUGAGAAACUACCCGGAGUGUCUCGAUGAUGCAACAGUUGCUGUUCAAUUGGAACCCACUUUAAUCAAAGCUAU